UCAAAGACAGGUGACAUUAGCUUGUCAUUGAUUGACAGAUUCAAUUUCAUUCACAUUUCCCAAAACAGAUUUCUCCAGCUGAUUUGUUUUGGAAAUAAUAUUUCCUAAGUUAUUGACAUAGCUAAUUAAAUAGCUAUCCAUUAGUUAUGUACGUAGGGAACUGUACAGCUAAGAUUAUAAGGUAAAAUGUCUUCAAAAACUUCGAAGUUCGCUCUAGCGUUAUCAUGUUCUGUAACGAUCGGAAUCGUAGCCUACGUGCAUAUAAAGCAACAAUCAGACAGAGAAAAAAUGCAUGAAGGAGUAAUAAGGGAUGUUGAGCGGCAACAAAGGCGUAAAAUAGAGAACCUAUAUAUUUUGGAAAAACAAAAUGAAUUAACUAAGAAACUAAAGAAAGAAUUAGGGAACUAGUCAAUGAAACACAAUGUCCUGAUAAGACAAUAUUUAUUAUUUACAGAGCUAAUGUGAAACUAAAAUAACUAGAUAAUAGGUAAUUAAAUGAACUACUAAGUUA